rnacentral:RNase_P_RNA from 1 species
CAAGUAAAUCGCCUUAUCGCUUUCCGUUUUUCGGAAGGAGGAAAGUCCGAACACCGUAGUGCAACAUAGUGGCUAAUAACCACCAGCCGUGAGGUUAGGAAAAGUGCAACAGAAAGUAUGUACAGGUCAUGCUGUAGUGAAACCAGGUAAACUCUAUGUGGUGCAAUGUCAUGUAUACCAACGUUUGAGGGCGGCACGCUCGAUUGUUGGAGGGUAGGCAGCUAAAGUGUAUUGGUAACAAUGCACGCAGAUAAAUGAUAAGGGCUUUUUAUAUUUUAAAUUCAUUUUAUAAAUAUAAAAAUGUACAGAAUUCGGCUUAUAGAUUUACUUGUUUA